rnacentral:ncRNA from 1 species
AUACCAUUGCGGUCAAGUUAGCAAUGUAUAAUUUUUUCCUAAUGACCGAAAUACCCUUAGGACGAAAACUUCCAAAUUUUGGUCAAAAAUUCUGAAAUAUCAGAUUGUAAAACUUCCAAAGUUUGAGAUGGGAAACUUCUGUGCUAGUUAAUAAUAUGUUAUUUUGGAUCUUUUUUUUUUGCCAAGUUUAGUAAAUUUUUGUCCCAAGGAUGGAUAAAAUCCAGUAGCCGAAAGCAUCACUAGCUUACGCUCUAACCCCGAGUAGCAUGGGAAACGUGGAAUCCUGUGUGAACCAACAAGAGCCACCUUGCAAGGCUAAAUACUCCUGGGUGACCGAUAGCGAUGUAGUACGGUGAGGGAAAGGUGAAAAGAACCCCUAGUGGGUAGUGAAAUAGAACGUGAAA